AGAGCGAACGCUGGCGGCAGGCCUAACACAUGCAAGUCGAGCGCCCGUAGCAAUACGGGAGCGGCAGACGGGAUAGUAACACGUGGGAACGCGCCCUUCGGUUCGGAAUAACUCAGGGAAACUUGAGCUAAUACCGGAUACGCCCUUACGGGGAAAGAUUUAUUGCCGAAGGAACGGCCCGCGUCCGAUUAGCUAGUUGGUGAGGUAAUGGCUCACCAAGGCGACGAUCGGUAGCUGGUCUGAGAGGAUGACCAGCCUCACUGGGACUGAGACACGGCCCAGACUCCUACGGGAGGCAGCAGUGGGGAAUAUUGGACAAUGGGCGCAAGCCUGAUCCAGCCAUGCCGCGUGGAUGAUGAAGGCCCUAGGGUUGUAAAGUCCUUUCGACGGGAAGAUAAUGACGGUACCCGUAGAAGAAGCCCCGGCUAACUUCGUGCCAGCAGCCGC
rnacentral:rRNA from 1 species